AUUUAUGCACACCCUGUAUUUGUAUUUUUCAUUUCAUGGUAGCCUAUAUUAGGUCUAUCCACCUUAUUCCUAAUUUAAAAAGAACUAACAGCAACAGAAAAGUCAUGGACAGCCGAGGUCGGACAACUCUAUCAAGAGCUUUGAUUUCAACCACAGUCGAAAUCCAGUGAACGUCACUCUGAUUGGCUGAGGCAACAUAUCAUCAUAACCCAACCUGUAAAGCCAGCCACUCUGAUAGGCCGAGGCAACAUGCGAGCCAUGUGGCGCGAGCGGCGCGAUUCAGCGUGUUUUUCACAUGGUUGGUUUUUCAAGCAGAAAAUAACGGCACAGAUAUUCAGCCUACAUCGCCGUCAUGAUCACUGGUGAACCCAUCUCCUCUAAAUUGAAGGUAAGUUCGUCCAAUCUAGUGAAUUCUAUGUCCAUGUCUACUUAUGCUUGUGUUUGGUAGUUUAGCGUUAUUGUCUUAAACUUCACAAACCUGCUGUGAUUACUGCCGCGAAUGUUCAAGGGCGUUAACCUUAACGGCACAGUUUUUUUGUUUUGCGUUAGCUUGCUGCUCUUAAUUCUUGACACUAAAUUGUAUUUUGCACGUUGUUAUCUGGCUGCUAGGUAGCUACCAUUCUUUGCUAGUAAAACUAACUCGUAUUGGGUGUUCAACGGGCUUUUCCCAAUGCGUGCUACUCUGAAUAUCGUCAGAAAUUAUAUGUGCCAGGAUCAUACAAACUCAAAGUUCGUAAUGUGCUUGUAUGCUCUAGUGUAGGCUAUCCUUGUUUGUAAAACUGCAACGCUGUUGUGUGAUGGAGUGAAAUCUUUAACUCCAUCUGUUUGUGAUGUUUGUUAACGCAUUUGUUUUGUCUCUCAGGUGCUGUAAGGAGUGAGGUACCCUUCCCUGAUAGGAGAAAAAACACCUAAACAAGGUAACGUUACGUGUUGUGAUCUCAUCCUCUUUUCUUUUGAUCAGGCCCCAGUCAAAUAAACAGUAAAACUAAACUAAUUUGGUAUUAACGUCUGUGUUUACGGAUGACUUUGAGAGUAAGACAGUGGUGAAAACGCCAAAGAGAACUGGAACAUGGCAUGUUAUAUUCAUAAAUGUUUGGCCAAGUUUAAAUGUUACUAGGUCCAGUGUUCGAUUCACCAUCAGGUCCUGCACAGAGAUUGUUCGAGGCACACCUUCAGGUCCAGACAUGAUGGGUCACGGCACGUGCGAGGCACACAGUCUUCAAAUCACUGCUAUUACUUUGAAUCUGAAUCAGAAAUAGCUUUAUUAUCUAGUGUGCUUGCACACAUAAGGAAUUUGUUUGUGUGCUGAGGCUUCCAGUGCACAUAUACUAACACAACAGGAAACGUAUUAUAAUUACAAAAUUAUUUUAAUUUCAGGUAUAACCAUAUGGAACUAAUAAAUCCAUGAAGACUGAUCCCGUAGUGAUGCCCCCAGUCCCCCGCCCAGGUCCAGACAUGAUAAAAGAGUACAGCGCAGUGAUCUCAGCACAUGACAGGCACGAUGCAGUGACUGAGACUGGGAGAUGCAGUGACUGAGACUGUGUUCCUGAAACUACUGGUCGACAUCCGCCAUCGCCUGAAGGAAACCAGAAGGGAUCAUGAAAUUUGGUUCCAUAGCCACUGAGGUGUAUGUACAUCAAGGUGAACGUGUGUGAGCACCUCAAGCACGCGUCGCAAAGACUUGGAGGUGGAGGAUUCACUACGCCCCGAUGAGCCUACAGGACUUGAAUUAAGAGUUUUAAAGGGAUAGUUCACUUUAAAAUUAAUUUUUGAUAUGUUUUAGCUUACCUCAAGGGCAUCCAAGAUGU